rnacentral:sRNA from 1 species
AAGGAUCAUUAUUGAUUUUAUCUAUUUCUGUGGAUUUCUAUUCUAUUACAGCGUCAUUUUAUCUCAAUUAUAACUAUCAACAACGGAUCUCUUGGCUCUCACAUCGAUGAAGAACGCAGCGAACCGCGAUAUUUUUUGUGACUUGCAGAUGUGAAUCAUCAAUCUUUGAACGCACAUUGCGCGGUAUGGCAUUCCGUACCGCACGGAUGGAGGAGCGUGUUCCCUCUGGGAUCGCAUUGCUUUCUUGAAAUGGAUUUUUUUAAACUCUCAAUUAUUACGUCAUUUCACCUCCUUCAUCCGAGAUUACCCGCUGAACUUAAGCAUAUCAAUAAGCGGAGGAAAAGAAACCAACAGGGAUUGCCUCAGUAACGGCGAGUGAAGCGGCAAAAGCUCAAAUUUGAAACCCUCGGGAUUGUAAUUUGAAGAUUUGGCAUUGGAGAAAGCUAACCCAAGUUGCUUGGAAUAGUACGUCAUAGAGGGUGACAACCCCGUCUGGCUAACCGUUCUCCAUGUAUUGCCUUAUCAAAGAGUCGAGUUGUUUGGGAAUGCAGCUCAAAGUGGGUGGUAAACUCCAUCUAAAGCUAAAUACUGGUGAGAGACCGAUAGCGAACAAGUACUGUGAAGGAAAGGUGAAAAGAACUUUGAAAAGAGAGUGAAAUAGUAUGUGAAAUUGUUGAUAGGGAAGGAAAUGAGUGGAGAGUGGCCGAGGUUUCAGCCGCCCCUCGUGGGCGGUGUACUGCCGACGCCGAGUCAUCGAUAGCGAGACGAGGGUUACAAAUGGGAGCGCCUUUCGGGCGUUCUCCCCUAACCCUCCACACUGCCACCGACGACAUAAUCCACCCAUUUCACCCGUCUUGAAACACGGACC